rnacentral:rRNA from 1 species
ACGCGAGGAACCUUACCAGGUCUUGACAUCCUCUGACACUCCUAGAGAUAGGACGUUCCCCUUCGGGGGACAGAGUGACAGGUGGUGCAUGGUUGUCGUCAGCUCGUGUCGUGAGAUGUUGGGUUAAGUCCCGCAACGAGCGCAACCCUUGAUCUUAGUUGCCAGCAUUAAGUUGGGCACUCUAAGGUGACUGCCGGUGACAAACCGGAGGAAGGUGGGGAUGACGUCAAAUCAUCAUGCCCCUUAUGACCUGGGCUACACACGUGCUACAAUGGAUGGUACAAAGGGCAGCAAAGCGGUGACGCCUAGCGAAUCCCAUAAAACCAUUCUCAGUUCGGAUUGUAGGCUGCAACUCGCCUACAUGAAGCUGGAAUCGCUAGUAAUCGCGGAUCAGCAUGCCGCGGUGAAUACGUUCCCGGGCCUUGCACACACCGCCCGU